UGCAGUCGACGAUGAUGCCCAGCUUGCUGGGCGGAUUAGUGGCGAACGGGUGAGUAAUACGUGAGUAACCUGCCCUUGACUCUGGGAUAAGCCUGGGAAACUGGGUCUAAUACUGGAUACUACCUCUUACCGCAUGGUGGGUGGUGGAAAGGGUUUUACUGGUUUUGGAUGGGCUCACGGCCUAUCAGCUUGUUGGUGGGGUAAUGGCUCACCAAGGCGACGACGGGUAGCCGGCCUGAGAGGGUGACCGGCCACACUGGGACUGAGACACGGCCCAGACUCCUACGGGAGGCAGCAGUGGGGAAUAUUGCACAAUGGGCGGAAGCCUGAUGCAGCGACGCCGCGUGAGGGAUGACGGCCUUCGGGUUGUAAACCUCUUUCAGUAGGGAAGAAGCGAGAGUGACGGUACCUGCAGAAGAAGCGCCGGCUAACUACGUGCCAGCAGCCGCGGUAAUACGUAGGGCGCAAGCGUUGUCCGGAAUUAUUGGGCGUAAAGAGCUCGUAGGCGGUUUGUCGCGUCUGCUGUGAAAGCCCGGGGCUCAACCCCGGGUCUGCAGUGGGUACGGGCAGACUAGAGUGCAGUAGGGGAGACUGGAAUUCCUGGUGUAGCGGUGAAAUGCGCAGAUAUCAGGAGGAACACCGAUGGCGAAGGCAGGUCUCUGGGCUGUUACUGACGCUGAGGAGCGAAAGCAUGGGGAGCGAACAGGAUUAGAUACCCUGGUAGUCCAUGCCGUAAACGUUGGGCACUAGGUGUGGGGGACAUUCCACGUUUUCCGCGCCGUAGCUAACGCAUUAAGUGCCCCGCCUGGGGAGUACGGCCGCAAGGCUAAAACUCAAAGGAAUUGACGGGGGCCCGCACAAGCGGCGGAGCAUGCGGAUUAAUUCGAUGCAACGCGAAGAACCUUACCAAGGCUUGACAUUCACCGGACCGCCCCAGAGAUGGGGUUUCCCUUCGGGGCUGGUGGACAGGUGGUGCAUGGUUGUCGUCAGCUCGUGUCGUGAGAUGUUGGGUUAAGUCCCGCAACGAGCGCAACCCUCGUUCUAUGUUGCCAGCACGUGAUGGUGGGGACUCAUAGGAGACUGCCGGGGUCAACUCGGAGGAAGGUGGGGAUGACGUCAAAUCAUCAUGCCCCUUAUGUCUUGGGCUUCACGCAUGCUACAAUGGCCGGUACAAAGGGUUGCGAUACUGUGAGGUGGAGCUAAUCCCAAAAAGCCGGUCUCAGUUCGGAUUGAGGUCUGCAACUCGACCUCAUGAAGUCGGAGUCGCUAGUAAUCGCAGAUCAGCAACGCUGCGGUGAAUACGUUCCCGGGCCUUGUACACACCGCCCGUCAAGUCACGAAAGUUGGUAACACCCGAAGCCGGUGGCCUAACCCCUUGUGGGAGGAGCCGUCGAA
rnacentral:rRNA from 1 species